rnacentral:lncRNA from 1 species
AAUUAAAUAACGCUAGAAUUAUGACGAGAUUUGAACUUAGUAUUUUCCAUUCUUGUAUCGUAUUAAGUGAUGCAAAAUAAUUUUUUUUCUCCAAAAGUUUAAGCCACUCUAAAAGCUUAAGCUAUUAAAGAAUGUUGUUUAAACAUUUUUAUAUUUAACACUCUCCCUCACGUCUGGGCUCAAGACUUUUUAAUCGGCCCAUGACGUGGGCUUGUAUUAAAUGGGAGGAAAUUAAUAUGUUAGGAGCCUGGCGUGACUCGAACUCAGAACCUUCUGCUCUGAUACCAUGUGAAACAAUCGUUGUACUCUGAAAGCUUAAGCUGUUAGAGAACGGUGUUUAAACAUUUUUAUAUUUAACACUCCCCCUCAUUUCGAGACUUUUUAAUCGGCCCAUAACGUGGGCUUGAAUUAAAUGGGAGAAAAUUAAUAUGCUAGGAGCCUGGCGUAACUCGAACUCAGGACCUCCUGUUCUGAUACCAUGUAAAACAACCGUUGUACUCUAAAAGCUUAAGCUGUUAGAGAACGAUGUUUAAACAUUUUUAUAUUUAACAAGCUUAAUUAAAUUUGCAAUUAUGAUUUCUAUCUCAGUAUCUCAUCCAGCUAUGCUAAGAUGAAUUGGUAAAUGCGAUUUUUUCUUAAAUAUGAGAAUUGAGGGGAACAUAAAAAUAAAAUAAAAUAAAAUUAAAAUUUGGGUUAAUAUGAAAUUUCAAUCCCAGAACUACAGUAUCCUUUUCUUUUCUUUUUUUUUACUACCUCAGGCUUUGAGACAUUUCGAAAUCGAGAAGCUUUUCGGCGGAAACGAAACAGUUUAAUAAUCCUUUGUGGUUCCGAUUGAGACUAGAUCAGUGUGUCGUUGGGUCAAAAUGUCCCGAAUCUUUGCACCGUUUCUCAAUUUGGUCCUCCAACAUUUUUUUUGUGCAGUCGAGUCUCUAAUUUCUAGAUUUUAUUACAAUUACAUCCCAGCUGCUAAAAAAGAUGUUAAAAUUAACAGAAUCAGCACAUCAGCGCCUACUUGGCUUUCUUUUGCAUGUCAAUUUCAGCCCAUAAACUUUACACAUUUUAACUUUAGUCCACAAAAAAAAAAUUUAAAUUUUAAAUUUUAAAUUUAAAUUAAAAAUUAAUAUUAAAAUUAAAAUUCUAAACUAACAAGAAAUUAGAAUUUUGAAUUUAA